CUGGGUGCUUUGGUUGGAGAGGGUCCCAUUUCCAGUCAUUCUUCAGCCUGGUGAUUCCCGCGCUCCCCUGAGGAGCAUAUGAAGUACGUCGGUUCUGCCAGGUUGGAACGCGGUGCUGGACACUCGGCCGUAAGGCGGAUCCCGGAUCCCCUCCCACUCCGACCCUUCCCUUCAGAAGGGCCGGUUCCCAAACGGCCCCUUUAGACACAUCCAAGCGGUUUCCGACGGCCCUCACGAUGAAAACUGCUGUCCGUUGGUGAAGGCAGCCUCUUCUGUGCUCCUCGCCGCUGACUUCCUGAGGCGGACCUACCUGUGGAGGCAUACCAGGAACCAGACGAUGACCCCCUCCAAAAGUUGGGUCUUUGAGGAGAGCUACUAACUUGGGUUCCUGGUACACCCUCUACAUGCAGUGGUGAAGCUUAUCUAACAGUCAUUCAUAGAGUCAGUUUGGGAAGGGGAAUUUUCGCUGAACUCUCAUAGAGAAACUGUGUUUUAGAUAACAGAAAGUUCUGCACGGUUAAAAUGGAACAGAAUUUUUUUUGCACAGAAAUUAGGAUUACCGAAAAUACUGAAGAAAGACUACCUCUGAUUGGACUCUUCUCAAGGAAUUAAUAAUUCAAGAACUAAGGAAAGAAAAAAGUGAUUAUAUGAAAAUACUGAAGUUGAUCGUAGCAACUGAAGGCUGAUCCUGUGUGGGUAAAUGUAAACGCUGAAUUCCCCCAUUCCAAUGUGCGACCUGGGAUUAAGGCAGCAAUUGAGCAGGGCUGAAGUACAUUGGUGCAAUCUUGGCUCACUGCAUCUCCACCCCAGGUUCAAGCGAUUCUCCUGCCUCAGCCUCCCAAGCAGCUGGGAUUACAGAAUGUCACAUAAAUGGAAUCAUGCUGUGUCCGGAAUUGGUGGGUUCUUGGUCUCACUGACUUCAAGAAUGACGCCAUGGACCCUCACGGUGAGUGUUACAGCUCUUAAGGUGGCGCGUCUGGAGUUUGUUCCUUCUGAUGUUCGGAUGUGUUCGGAGUUUCUUCCUUCUGGUGGGUUCGUGGUCUCGCUGGCUCAGGAGUGAAGCUGCAGACUUUCGUGGGCUGGCCGACUGCUCCGAGUGCGGGGCCGCCAAGCCCACGCCCACCCGGAACUCCAGCUGGCCCGCAAGCGCCUCACGCAGCCCCGGUUCCCGCUCGCGCCUCUCCCUCCACACCUCCCUGCAAGCUGAGGGAGUGGGCUCCAGCCUUGGCCAGCCCAGAAAGGGGCUCCCACAGUGCAGUGGUGGGCUGAAGGGCUCCUCAAGUGCCGCCAAAGUGGGAGCCCAGGCAGAGGAGGUGCCGAGAGCAAGCAAGGGCUCUGAGGACUGCCAGCACACUGUCACCUCUCAAUACAAUUUCAUCUCUCUCUCUGCUAUGGACACAGAUGGCUUCACUCCAUCCUGUAUUCUCCGGACCAUGAUAAAAUUCCAGACUCUCGGUAGUUUUUGCGUUCCAAGAAGUAGAGCCUAGAGUGGUGGCCUAUAAUUACAGUUACUCAGGAGGCUGAGGCAGGAGGAUCCUUUGAGUCCAGCAGUUUGAGGCCAGCCUGGACACCACAGCAAGACCACCAAUAAAUAAAUAAAUAAAUGGAACAU
rnacentral:antisense_RNA from 1 species